CUAUGGUGAUCCAUUAUCAAUUUGGAUCUUUCAUUGCCCCUGUGAGAUUUUCGAGCAAAAUUCUGAAAUGCUACACACAAAUAGUUUUAUGAAACAGAAUUCCAAAUACGGAAUAAAUGGCAGGAAUGCAAUCCACUUCAAUACCCUGCACUAGCGAGAAAAAAGAAAGAAAAAAAAACUACCGGUAAUUUACUAAUAAUAUUUUCAUUUUCCCCCCGUAAAAUAUGCGAGAUAAUUCUGUACAUGUUUCUAUUAUUCUGGCCUCGUCAGUGGAUUCGAGCGUUUGCUGUUGCUACAGAAAACCUGCCCACUGUUGUCUCCUGUAGUUAACAGGAAAAUGGAAAUCAUAUUAAUCAUUGAUGAAUAUCGUUUUCCUUCACAUAUUCUCUUUCUAAUUUUGCUUUUUAACACUACCUUACAAAUGAAUGUAUAUACGUGUCUACGAUAACAGAAAAUUGAUAGAUAACUCCGCACCCCAUCGAUGACACAAACACUUCAAUUGGAGAUUAUUUUUGACUAAACUAACAGAGACGCAACGAAAAUUUUAAGAAAAAACUGGAAAUUUUACCGGUGAGUGUGUAACAUUAUAAGGCACGAAAAAGAAAAUGACUCUCCGCAGACACAACAGAAUAAAAAAAAGUAAAACGGAGUCUUCCAUACUUUGCCAAACCUAUCACUUUCCAAACUUGUAAAAGUGCUGCAAUUUCAUACGAAACGGCGGCGUGAAACCGAUCUCUGUGAGUCUAUAUAUUUCGCCAAAGCUCGAUUUCUCCGUUUUCGAUGUGGAACUGCGUAACAGAUUUGCAGGAAGACUCGCAGAAGAAGCAGAACCGCCGAGGUGGUCGAUAGAUCUUGCUUGACGGAUACAAACCACGGAUAUUGAUCGAUCGAUCGGAAGAAAACAAAUUCGGAUUUUUUUUUAUAUAAAAAAAGGGAAUAUCACAGACAAAACCUCUUCAAUUAACAACGAAAUUAAUUAAACCAAACGGACAAGGUGUGCGGAAGGAACGACCAAGUACUUGUGAACCACCUCAAUCAGGACUGUUGACUGGUGUGGGAGUGUUUGCCAUAUACACCUAUACAUUUCACACAUAUAUAUAUAUAUACAUUUAUACACAUAUAAACUAUAUACUAUACUAUAUAUAUAUAUAUAUAUAUAUAUA